CGGGAAGUUACGGCUUUGGCAGGUGUUACUUAGUAAGCCUUUCUUUUUAGCUUUCAGGAAAGGGAUGCAGAAAUCCCAGAAGCAUGUGAUGCAGACGGAAUUCACGCAGAAAGGAACAAUUGUGUCAUGCUCCCCCAAGAUUCCUCUAAAACAGCCAGCACUGCUCAGCAUUCUCCAGCUCCAACAGCACCACACCAAACUGAUGCCUAGCAGCUCUCAGUCCUGCCUCUCAAUGGAAAUUCUGCCACACCUCUCAUGAAGCACAUGGCUUUGGAGCCUAUGUGCUGGGUUCAGCACCCUCGAUGGCUAAGGCCAGUGAUAUAUUCACUACCCAGAAAGCAUGAGACUAACACCAUGAGGACCGACUGGUCUCUAACUGGCUUUCAGCUUGCUUGGUCAUGGGUCUGUUAUUUGUGAAUUACUGUACUAUGUCAUAGACCAGGUCCUAGAGAUUGAGGGAGAAUGCUAGGUCUAUGCAAGAGAAUGUAACAAGUAUAAAAAACUAAUAGGAUUAAGUCCCUACCUGACAACCUAUU